AAGAACCUUACCAGCUUUUGACAUGUCCUGGACGGAUUGCAGAGAUGCGAUCUUCUCUUCGGAGCCGGGAACACAGGUGCUGCAUGGCUGUCGUCAGCUCGUGUCGUGAGAUGUUGGGUUAAGUCCCGCAACGAGCGCAACCCUCGCCCUUAGUUGCCAUCAUUCAGUUGGGCACUCCAGGGGGACUGCCGGUGAUAAGCCGGAGGAAGGUGGGGAUGACGUCAAGUCCUCAUGGCCCUUACAGGCUGGGCUACACACGUGCUACAAUGGCGGUGACAACGGGAGGCGAAGGGGCGACCCUUAGCAAAUCUCGAAAAGCCGUCUCAGUUCGGAUUGCACUCUGCAACUCGAGUGCAUGAAGUUGGAAUCGCUAGUAAUCGCGGAUCAGCACGCCGCGGUGAAUACGUUCCCGGGCCUUGUACACACCGCCCGUCACACCAUGGGAGUUGGUUUUACCCGAAGACGGCGCGCUAACCGCAAGGAGGCAGCCGGCCACGGUAGGGUCAGCGACUGGGGUGAAGUCGUAACAAGGUAGCCGUA
rnacentral:rRNA from 1 species